rnacentral:rRNA from 1 species
AAUUAGUUCAUACAUACACAUGCAUGGCUUAAUCAUUGAGACAAGCAUAUGACUACUGGCAGGAUCAACUAGGUAGCAUUCCAUUGGGACAUUGGCACUGCUUGGGCUUUAAUGCACCAACUGAGUGAUGAAAAAUUAGGGUUCAAUUUCAUAGAGGGAGCUUGAAAAACAUCUACCAUGUCCAAGGAAGGCAGUGGACAUACAAAUUACCCAAUCCUAACAUGGGUAGGUAGUGACAAUAAAUAACAAUAUCAGGCUCUAUGAGUCUGGAAAUUGGAAUGAGUACAAUCUAAAUCCUUUAAUGAAAAGCAAUUAGAGGGCAAGUCUAAUGCUACCGACCUCGAUAAUUUUAGCUACAAUACUAUAUAUUUAAGUUGUUGCAGUUAAAAAGCUUAUAGUUGGAACUAGGGUUGGGUCAUCCGAUUCGCCUCAUAGUGAGCACUGAUCUACUUAUCCCUAUUAUUGACAAUGUGCUCUUAGCCUUAACUAGGUGGGCCAUUCCUCUGGCACUGUUACUUUGAAGAAAUUAGAGUGCUCAAAGUAGGCCUACAUUUAUAUACAUUAGCAUGAGAUAACAUCAUAGGAUUUUGAUCCUAUUGUGUUAGCUUUUGGGAUCAGAGUAAUGAUUAACAAGGACAAUCAGGUGCAUUGAUAUUCCAUAGUCAAAGGUGAAAUUCUUGGAUUUAUGAAAGAUGAACAACUGUAAAAGCAUUUGCCAAGGAUGUUUUUAUUAAUCAAGACUAAAAGUUGGGGGCUUCAAGAUAAUCAGAUACCAUCCUUGUCUUAAUCAUAAACUAUGUCAACCAGGGAUCAACAAUGUUACUUUUAGGCCUUUGUCGGCACCUUAUGAGAAAUCAAAGUCUUUGGGUUCUAGGGAGAGUAUGGUCACAAGGCUAAAACUUAAAGGAAUUGAUAGAAGGGCACCAUCAGGAGUGAAGCUUGUAGCUUAAUUUGACUCAACACAAGAAACUUACCAGGUUCAGACAUAGUAAGUAUUAAUAGACUAAGAGCUCUUUCUUGAUUCUAUAGGUGGUGGUGCACGACUGUUCUUAGUUGGUGGAGCAAUUAGUUUCAUUAAUUCUAUUAAUGAAUAAGACAUCAACCUACUAACUAGCUACGUACAGGUAAUCCUUCAUGGAUAGCUUCUUAGAGGGACUAUGGCCACUUAGGCCAAGGAAGUUUGAGGCAACAAUAGGUUUGUGAUGCCCUUAAAUCUUUUGGGCCACACGCAAGCUACACUAAUGUAUUCAACGAGUCUAUAGACUUGGUUGAUAGUCCUAGGUAAUCUUUGAAAUUUCAUCAUGAUAGGGAUAUAUCAUUGUAAUUAUUAGUCUUCAAUAAGGAAUUCCUAGUAAGCGUGCCCAUUGUACACACCGCCCAUCACUCCUACAGAUUGAAUGGUCUGGUGAAGUGUUCAGAUCAUGAUGAAAUAGAUGGUUCACUACCAUUAAAGUCAUAAGAAGUCCACUAGACCUUAUCAUUUAGAGGAAAGAAAAGUCGUAACAAGGUUUUCGUAGGUGAACCGAUAAAAU